rnacentral:rRNA from 1 species
GAUGAACGCUGGCGGCGUGCCUAAUACAUGCAAGUCGAACGGAGACAUUAGCAAUAAUGUCUUAGUGGCGAACGGGUGAGUAACGCGUUGGUGACCUGCCCCGAAGAGGGGGAUAACAGUCCGAAAGGAUUGCUAAUACCCCCAUAUGGUCGUUUGGAUUAGAUGCCUUACGACUAAACGGAUUUAUUCGCUUCGGGAGGGGCCUGCGUCCCAUCAGCUAGUUGGUAAGGUAACGGCUUACCAAGGCGAUGACGGGUAGGAGACCUGAGAGGGUGGCCCCCCACAAUGGAACUGAAACACGGUCCAUACACCUACGGGUGGCAGCAGUAGGGAAUAUUGGUAAUCUGGGAAACCGGGAACCAGCAACGCCGCGUGCGCGAUGAAGGCCUUCGGGUUGUAAAGCGCUUUUUGAAGGGAUGAGGAAGGACAGUACCUUCAGAAUAAGCCUCGGCUAACUACGUGCCAGCAGCCGCGGUAAAACGUAGGAGGCGAGCGUUAUCCGGAUUUACUGGGCGUAAAGCGUGUGUAGGCGGUAUGAUAAGUUGGAUGUGAAAGCUCCCGGCUCAACUGGGAGACGUCGUUCAAAACUGUCAGACUAGAGAGUGGUAGAGGGAGGUGGAAUUCCGCGUGUAGUGGUGAAAUGCGUAGAUAUGCGGAGGAACACCAGUGGCGAAAGCGGCCUCCUGGCCCAUUUCUGACGCUCAGACACGAAAGCUAAGGUAGCAAACGGGA